AUGCUGGCGUUGAUCGCCCUGCUGGUCGCGGGGACGGCGGCCGUGGCUCCGAUCGUUUCGGUUCCGAGUUGCCCUUUGGGUUUCGGACCGGUUCCGGGAGCACCGGGACGUUGCGAUGAUCGCGACGAAUGUCGAACGGCCGCCGUGUGUCACCACAUGUGCCUCAAUCACGAGGGAGGUUUCGCCUGUCACUGUCGCCGGGGUUUCGUCCUGCAAGCCGACGGCGCCACCUGUCAGCCCCAUAGGCGGCCCUAUAGGCGACCCUAUAGGCGGACGCAGCACCGGGAUCACCGGCAGCCCCACAGACAGCCCGACAGACAGCCUGACAGACAGCCCGACAGGCAGACGCGGCGACAGCCCGACAGACAGACCGACAGACAGACGCGGCGACAGCCCAGCCGUGGUUCCAUCCGAGCUCACCAGGAUCCCAACCAAAGCCAUCGGGAUCCAAACUGGGAUCCCAAUCGGGAUCACCAUGAUCCCAACCGGAACCACCAGGAUCCCAACUGGGAUCCCAUGCCAGGUUACUGGGAUUCCGACCCCGAUCCCAACCGGAGCCGCCAGGAUUUGAGCUGGGAUUCCAGCCGAGGUCAACAAGAUCCCAACCGGAGCCACCAGGAUCCAAACUGGGAUCCCAACUGGGAUUCUACCCAAGAUCACCAGGAUCCCAACCGGAGCCACCAGGAUCCCAUCCCAACUCAUCAGGAUCCCAACCAGAGCCAUUGGGAUUCCAACCGGGAUUCCAUGCCAGGUCACUGGGAUUCCAACCCAGAUCCCAACCGGAGCCAAUGGGAUCCAAACUGGGAUCCCAUCCGAGGUCACCAUGAUCCCAACCGAAGCCACCAGGAUCCUAACUGGGAUUCCAUGCCAGGUCACUGGGAUUCCAACCCAGAUCCCAACCGGAGCAACCGGGAUCCAAACUGGGAUCCCAUCCGAGGUCAACAAGAUCCCAACCAGAGCCACCAGGAUCCCAACUGGGAUCCCAACCAGGAUUCCAUGCCGGGUCACUGGGAUUCCAACCCUGAUCCCAACCGGAGCCGCCAGGAUCUGAACUGGGAUUCGACCCGAGGUCAUCAGGAUCCAAACUGGGAUCCCAACCGGAGCCACCGGGAUCCAAACUGGGAUCCCAACAGGGAUUCUACCCAAGAUCACCAGGAUCCCAACCGGAGCCACCAGGAUCCCAUCCGGAGCCAAUGGGAUCCAAACUGGGAUCCCAACUGGCAUUCCAUCCCAGGUCACCAAGAUCCCAACCGUGAUCCCAACCAGAGCCACCAUCAGGGUCCAAACUGGGAUCCCAACCAGGAUUCCAUCCAAGAUCACCGG
rnacentral:lncRNA from 1 species